rnacentral:sRNA from 1 species
UUAUAGUUAGAUACAAUUUGUAAACUUUUAUAUAUACUAACAUUAAAAAAUAAAUUGUUUCCGCGGUGUACCGCGGGUUAAAAUCUAGUAUAUAUGUAUAAAUGUAACGAAUAAAAUGAGUAUAU